rnacentral:rRNA from 1 species
UAAUACGAAGGACCCGAGCGUUAUCCGGAUUUAUUGGGUUUAAAGGGUGCGUAGGCGGGUUUAUAAGUCAGUGGUGAAAGCCCAUCGCUCAACGAUGGAAUUGCCAUUGAUACUGUAAAUCUUGAGUACAUUUGAGGCGGGCGGAAUGUGUCAUGUAGCGGUGAAAUGCUUAGAUAUGACACAGAACACCGAUUGCGAAGGCAGCUCGCUAAACUGUAACUGACGCUGAGGCACGAAAGCGUGGGGAUCAAACAGGAUUAGAUACCCUGGUAGUCCACGCCCUAAACGAUGAUUACUCGAUGUGUGCGAUACACUGCACGCGUCUGAGCGAAAGCAUUAAGUAAUCCACCUGGGGAAUACGGUCGCAAGAUUG